rnacentral:lncRNA from 1 species
UGGUCACCAUAGAUUAUAAAAUCUUAGCAAUUACUUAAUACCAGCAAAUGUUUGGUUCUUCCCAGUCACUGUCAUAUUAACAUCUAAGAUCUCAAAGGAGUACCAUGCUUAUUUUUCAGGGGGGUUUUGUCUCAGGUAACAAAAACAUCAGAGUUUAUAAUCACUGUCUAGUAUAUGAGAGAAAAUUUAAAUUAAUCAGUCUCACUUAUAAUUAAGAUAUGUGAAGUAGUAAGGUCUCAAUGAUAUCAACAUGCAUAGUGAACUAUUGUAGCACAAAAUUGAGAUCAGGAUUGAGGAACUUAGCUGAGAUUCAUGAUUACUCAUUCAGAACAUGCUUCAUGGUAUCUUCAUAGGUGUUUUGUCUCAGAGAAGAUAAAAAUGAGAUCAUUUAUCAAGAUUCAGAGUUU